GGGCUCUCUCUUUCUCUCCCUCUCAAAAUCUGUCUCUCGCACUCGCUCGACUCUCUCUCGAAUCUCACUGCCUCUCUCGCUCGAAUCUCUCUCUCGAAUCUGUCGAUCGAUUCAACUUUCUCAAGUCCACCACUGUUGAAGAUUUCAUAAUCGGUUGUUGUACAGAAAGUGAAGGAAUCGGAGAUAACCGAGCAGGACUGGUUUCUACUGCGGACCUCUCCUCUUCAAAAUCUGGUAUUAGCAAGGUAGCACUGAUUGGCAUUGCACUUGGGACGAUUGCAGGUGCAGUUACGUUAUCUGCAAUUGUAUCACUUCUUAUAUUGAGAUUGAAUACGAGAAAACGCCAUACAUCUUCAAGAAGACAUCUAUGAUUGUCCAGAAGUGCAUGCCAACACAGCAGAAACACUGUGUGCUAUAACUUGAUAUGCUCCUCCAGGCCUAGCUGCUAAAAUCACCAGCCCAAGUUUUAUAGGAAGACUCUUUUGUCAUGCUCUGGAGGAUUCACGGCCAAAAUCUGUUUUGGUUAACUCAUUGUCUGUAUGCAUAUCUUUGUUAGACCCCAAAAGGCUGACCUUGGGGACAUAUCAUUUUUACAGCCGCCAACUAUCUCAUGGAUCUACAAUAAGUGCUAAUCCCGAGACAGUCGAGGGCAUG